GACAGAGAGCGCAGCUCUGAUUGGCCGCUUGAGUUAUUUUGAAGGAGACGGGGCGCCGCGUUUUUUGUAUAGUCGCCCGGUUCGCUCGGCAAACGUGUACUGUGUAGAGUCUCAAGAUCAUUUGAGGUGGAUAUGCAUUGGCCCGAGUGUCGAUAUCUGCGCGAAAUUGGUGCGAAAGAAGGUGACUUCGGGGACAUCAAUCUUAUAAUCGGAAAACCAAGGGGCAUAAUAAGAAGAAGAAGAAGAAGAAGAAUAUACAAGCGAUUGCAUAAAGCAGAAGAGAGGAAAGCCAGUAUUUUGAGUGGUGAUUGGUAUCUAUCAAUUUGCAUUUGCAAUUCCUGAUUCGCAGUCAUCAUGCUGAUGUUUAUUUAAAAAAAAUCAAGGAUGCCAUAUGUGUUUCAAUUUGCCACACUGCCACUAUCAUUGCGACUACUUUCAUGCAUUCCAGGACAACUAGUGAUCCACUUGUGAGAUGGUCUGUUAUGGUAGCUGCCUUGGCCUUGGAGUGGCUGCAAUGGGUUCGCAUAGACAAGACCUUUAUGAAGAAUUAAGAUCAAAUUUGUAUAAAAAUGACGUCGUGACUGAUAAAGCGGCUAGAAUCGCUACGGAAAUGGUUAUACUGAGGUCCAAUUCAACGCAUGUGAUCAAAGAUAAGUUUAAUGCACAUU